ensembl:lncRNA
GUUGUGAGGGGUUUUCAUAGUAUGUGCCCAGUCAUGUCUGAUUCUUUGCAACCCCAUGGACUGUGGCCUUCCAGGCUCCUCUGUCCAUGGAUUUUCCUGGCAAGAAUACUGGAGUAGGUUGCCAUUUUCUCCUCCAGGGGAUCUUCCUGACCCGGGGAUUGAACCUGAGUGUCCUGCAUUGACAAGCAGAUUCUUUACCACAAGUGCCACCUGAGAAGCCCCUUUGAUAGGCUCGGAAGGAAGAAAUCACACAUGUGGGGUUAUCUUGGAGUUGUGAGGGUGGAAGAGGUUGUAUAUUUGAUGCACUCAUUUAAAACACUCAGUAAGAAACUCUCAGGCCACUUAACAAGAGUAUUUGGAUGCUGGGAAAAUCCAAGACUCCCUCAGAAAACCCACACCCAGAGAGAGCUUCCUGCUUUCCAGAGCAGCUGUGGCCUGGAUUCCAGCCUCCAUCUCUGGGUUGGCCAGGAGAAGCCCUGGGCCCACACAGCUCUCCCUUACUCACGCCAGGAGGGACUAACACAGAUGAAGGUAUUUCACACAACAAAUACAACUCAACCAUGAGGAAGACGGAGCUGCCCCUCCAUUCAACCACACGAGCCAGCGUCACAAGCAAACUGUUGGCUUGCAGGCGCCUCCCUCCACGGGAUUUUCCUGGCAAGAACACUGGAGUGGUCUGCCAUGCAAUCCUCCCGCGGAUCUUCCAGGAACUGGACCUGUGUCUCCUGCAUGGCAGGCAGGUUCUUUACCACUGAGCCACCGAGGAAGCUCCUUAAUGUAUAUACUCUACCUCAAAA